ACUUUUUAAUGGAGACCGACUUGGCCUGGGAGGCAGCAGGCAGCUGAAAUUCUGGCGUGCUGUGGCUGGAUAAUGCAUGAUCUGAGGACCCCUAUACUGAUGACUGUGGAUGGGGCCACAUUUUUUUCUGCAAAUAUAUUCAUAUACUGAGCAGUCAGGAGCAGCCCUUAGGCAAAUACCACACCUUGCUUCUCUGCUGUGAUUGAUAUCUGAGCUCACCAGAAACAGUGUCUCACUAUGUUGCCCAGGCUUGUCUUGAAUUCCUGACCUCAAGUGAUCCUCCCACAUCAGCCUUCCAAAGUGCUGGGAUUACAGGUCUCUGAAUGCUCUAAUCUCCCUCCUGGCUGACAGUACGGGCUCCCCAGUGUACAGUAACUAUUUUUCCUGUAUCGAGAGAGCAUAUGGAGAGAAGAAGGAAAACACAUGUUUCUAAUUUCACUAAAUAUGUUUCCUUUGCGCUCCUGAGGGGCUUGAUGAAAACCUUAUACUAUGUCUGCUGGACAGGACACUGGAGCAAGAGAUACUGGAGAUCUCUCUGCAUCCUGGCACCAAACCCAAACCAGUAACUCUG
rnacentral:lncRNA from 10 species